AUUGAACGCUGGCGGCAGGCCUAACACAUGCAAGUCGAGCGGGGUUUUCGGACCUAGCGGCGGACGGGUGAGUAAUGCGUAGGAAGCUACCCGAUAGAGGGGGAUACCAGUUGGAAACGACUGUUAAUACCGCAUAAUGUCUACGGACCAAAGUGUGGGACCUUCGGGCCACAUGCUAUCGGAUGCGCCUACGUGGGAUUAGCUAGUUGGUGGGGUAAUGGCUCACCAAGGCGACGAUCCCUAGCUGGUUUGAGAGGAUGAUCAGCCACACUGGAACUGAGACACGGUCCAGACUCCUACGGGAGGCAGCAGUGGGGAAUAUUGGACAAUGGGCGCAAGCCUGAUCCAGCCGUGCCGCGUGUGUGAAGAAGGCCUUCGGGUUGUAAAGCACUUCCAGUAGGGAGGAAGAGUUGAGUGUUAAUAGUACUCAGCUUUGACGUUACCUACAGAAGAAGCACCGGCUAACUCUGUGCCAGCAGCCGCGGUAA
rnacentral:rRNA from 1 species